rnacentral:rRNA from 1 species
AUUGAACGCUGGCGGCAGGCCUAACACAUGCAAGUCGAGCGGAUGGAGGGAGCUUGCUCCUGGAUUCAGCGGCGGACGGGUGAGUAAUGCCUAGGAAUCUGCCUGGUAGUGGGGGAUAACGUCCGGAAACGGGCGCUAAUACCGCAUACGUCCUGAGGGAGAAAGUGGGGGAUCUUCGGACCUCACGCUAUCAGAUGAGCCUAGGUCGGAUUAGCUAGGUGGUGGGGUAAAGGCCUACCAAGGCGACGAUCCGUAACUCGUCUGAGAGGAUGAUCAGUCACACUGGAACUGAGACACGGUCCAGACUCCUACGGGAGGCAGCAGUGGGGAAUAUUGGACAAUGGGCGAAAGCAUGAUCCAGCCAGGGCGCGUGUGUGAAGAAGGUCUUCGGAGUGUAAAGCACUUUAAGUUGGGAGGAAGGGCAGUAAGUUAAUACCUUGCUGUUGUGACGUUACCAACAGAAUAAGCACCGGCUAACUUCGUG